rnacentral:misc_RNA from 1 species
GAAACAAAAACGAAGAAAAUGACGUUGAACGCGAGUGACUUGGAGAAUCUGGCCUCGAUGCUGGACAGCAACCGUGCCUUUCAGCGUCCAGAGGGCCAGGUCACGGGUUUCAGCCUCGAGGAGCAGGCAUCGUCGACCGGUUGCGCAGGGUGCACCUCUAGCAGUGCUGUGGUGGUCUCAGCUAAUGAUCCUGGCGGGGCUUCCUUGCAAUCACAGGGGAACCCGGCCGGCAUUGCACUGCCACCGACAGUGGUGGAUCACCAACUGCGGCUGCCGGAGCCGUCACACGGCAAGGAGGCGGAGCGAAAGAAACAGCUGGCCCAACCCGCACGCCCGAGCGGGGACGAGAUCUGGACGCAGGCGGAGCUGGCGGCUCUGUUUAUGCGGCAACGGAGAGACGGGCCGGCCCCAGUGGCCGCCGCGGCACGUGCGGCAGCGCAGCAAGCGAGUCUGCAAUCAGCAGAUGGGCAGUCGCGCGCGGCAACGUUGUGGCGACCUAGCCCCUCCGACGCUGGCGCCUUCGAGGAGCCCGUGCACACGGUGCUGUAUCAGCAGAAGGUCUCUGCCGAGGAUGUCUACCUCGGCGUCGACUUUACGCGCGAUGCUUCGAGUGCCGCGAGUGAUGGCGUCACGGUGCGCGUGGAGCUGCCGCGAGUGACGUCCGUAUCUGAGAUUACGAUGGAAGUUGAAGCGUACGAGUUGCGGGUUUCGGUGGCUGGGGUCUACUACCUGGCUGCGCCUCUGCCACGCCGGGUGCAGAAAACAGCGGCGGAUGCGGCGUGGGAUGCGCAGAAAAAGAUGCUGACAGUGCGUCUCAAGGCUGACAGAAGCAGCGACAGCGACGUGAAGAUCGUCGCGUAGUGUGCCCGCAGUCGCGGGACAGAUGGGCAGUGGUGGCCACCGCUGCGCCUUUACGUCACCCCUGCAAGCUACCGUCAAUACCGACGUUAACCAGGAAGCGCCGUUCGUUUUGUGGCUUGCCGCUUUCGCUCCCCUUUUUUUGUCAGAGUUUACUGUACUUCGCGUUGCCCUCAGAUGUGUCUGUGUGUUUGGUCGCUCUGUGCAGGAGCGCCCUGACGGUG